rnacentral:lncRNA from 1 species
CAAGCAUUCACACAGAGUUUUGGAGUCUCAAGUAAUAGAUAGAAACAACACUGGAACAGUAUGGUACACUAGAGCAUAGUAUAGCAGAGUUAGAGAUUUUUUUUAAAAACCUAUACAGGAGCUUUAAUGGGAGGUGUUCUAUGUCAUCUCCAGGGAACAUUUGACAAUGUUUGAAGACAUAUUUGAUUACUGUGGCUGGAGGGAGUAUUACUGGCGUCUCGUAAGUAAAGGUCAAGGAUGCUGCUACAAAACACAAAAAUCCUCCACAACUGUCCAGAUUAUCUGAAUUUGUCCAAGAAUUGUCUGACCCAAAUUGUCAGCAGCAGCAAGACUGAGAAACCCUGACCUGUACUAACACAGCCAGAGAGAAGGUGAAUUUAUGACCAUUAUAUCACUACUGAUACGACGACAUAAGCAUUCUAACAUGGACCAGUGUGAAUCAAAAUGAGACUGUGGACCCUCCCAGAUUGUCAACAGAAGAAAUAGAUGGGAUAAUGGUAGAAGGCAACCAGGCCAGAAUUUAAAAAAAUCCAUUUCCCUGGCAGUCAUGCUAAAAUUUUCCCUAAUAUCUGGAGGCCAAGAAGAUUGAUAGGUAAUAGUGAAUUCACACCAACCCUCUAUAAUUUGGUGUUAUGACUUAUUCAUCUUUUCAAAUCUCAAGUUUAUCACCUCUAAAAAGGAAAUAAAAAUUCUUUAUAGAGUUGUUAUAAAGAGUUUUAAAGUGCCUGGUGCCCCUUCCUUCUAGAAUUCAUAUUGUGUUAGGACUAGGGUGGUGUGUGAGGCAUGAGCUGAAGGUCUGUCUCCCUUCCAUCUCUCACUUCCACACACACCUUAACUCUGAAGGCCACCAUCACCAAAGGGAGAAAUGUCUAUGGGAAAAAAAAACAGGUGAGAGCUUCCAAGCUGUAGAGAAGAAUCAAAGGAUUCCAAGUCAGAGACUGCAUCCUGUAUGGAAAGUCCUGCAUCUUUGUCUGGGUGAUGAUGGGGCAAGCGGAGGUAGAGAGAAGAGU